rnacentral:lncRNA from 1 species
CAUUGUGGCUCAGUGGUAAUGUACCUGACUAGCAUCCAUGAGGAUGCAGGUUCGAUCCCUGGCCUUGCUCAGUGGGUUAAGGAUCCAGCAUUGCUGUGAGCUGUGGUCUAAGUCACAGACAUGGCUCAGAUCUGGCACUGCUGUGGCUGUGGUGUAGGCGGACAGCUGUAGCUCCAAUUCGACCCCUAACCUGGGAACCUCCAUAUGUCUUGGGUGUGGCCCCAAAAAGACAAAAAAAAAAAAAAAAAAGAAAGAAAUAUAUAUAAACUACUUGGAGCCAUGCCUGGCAUAGAAGUGAAUGCUGACUAAAUGUGAAAUAUCCUCAUUGCUAAUAAUAGCAAGCUGUUGAAUAGUUUUUCAAGAAUUUUAAUUUAAUCUCACCAAACAUUCUUGAAAGCAGUAGUUCUCACUCAAACUUCUAGUUUUAUAUCCUUCUGAGCGAUGGGCCCAACCUAGGUCCUCAAAUGCUGGUUUAUCACCACCACCCCAUCAUCAUCAUCAUCACUAAUAUUACCAUUUAUCAUCAUCUCCACCAUCACAACUGUCACCAUCAGCAUCACUGUAACUGUCACCGUGAGCAUCAUAUAAUCACCAUUAUCACUGCCAACAUCACCUCCAUCACAACUGUCACCAUCAGCAUCAUCACCAUUAUCACUGCCAACAUCAUCACCUCCAUCACAACUGUCACCAUCAGCAUCAUCACCAUUAUCACUGCCAACAUCACCUCCAUCACAACUGUUACCAUCAGCAUCAUCACUAUUAUCACUGCCAUCAUCACCUCCAUCACAACUGUUACCAUCAGCAUCAUCACCAUUAUCACUGCCAACAUCACCUCCAUCACAACUGUUACCAUCAGCAUCAUCACUAUUAUCACUGCCAACAUCAUCACCUCCAUCAAAACUGUCACCAUCAGCAUCAUCACCAUUAUCACUGCCAACAUCACCUCCAUCACAACUGUUACCAUCAGCAUCAUCACUAUUAUCACUGCCAACAUCGCCUCCAUCACAACUGUUACCAUCAGCAUCAUCACCAUUAUCACUGCCAACAUCACCUCCAUCACAACUGUUACCAUCAGCAUCAUCACUAUUAUCACUGCCAACAUCACCUCCAUCACAACUGUCACCAUCAGCAUCAUCACUAUUAUCACUGCCAACAUCAUCACCUCCAUCACAACUGUCACCAUCAGCAUCAUCUCCAUUAUCACUGCCAACAUCAUCACCUCCAUCACAACUGUCACCAUCAGCAUCAUCGCUAUUAUCACUGCCAGCAUCAUCACCUCCAUCACAAUUGUCACCAUCAGCAUCAUCACUAUUAUCACUGCCAGCAACAUCACCUCCAUCACAACUGUCACCGUCAGCAUCAUCACUACCAUUAUCAGUGUCAUCACCUCCACCACCAUAACUGUUACCACCGUCAACAUCAUCACCUCCAUCACAACUGUCACCGUCAGCAUCAUCACCAUUAUCACUGCCAGCAUCAUCACCUCCAUCACAACUGUCACCAUCCGCAUCAUCACUACCAUUAUCAGUGUCAUCACCUCCAUCACAACUGUCACCGUCAGCAUCAUCACUAUUAUCACUGCCAGCAUCAUCACCUCCAUCACAACUGUCACCGUCAGCAUCAUCACUACCAUUAUCAGUGUCAUCACCUCCACCACCAUAACUGUCACCAUGAUUAUCACUGUAACUGUCACCAUCACCAUCAUCAUUAUCACUGUUACCCGGUCAACAUCAUCACCUCCAUCACAACUGUCACCAUCAGCAUCAUCACUACCAUUAUCCAUGUCAGCAUCAUCAUCUCCACCAUCAUAAUUGGCCCCAUCAUCAUCAUUAUCAGCAUAACUGCCACCACCACCACCAUCAUCAUCUCUAGAGCCAUCACUGACCAUGUACAUUAUGUCCCAGCUCCUAGAGCAGUGCUUUCCAUAUCUAUUUGGUUUAUAUAGCAACCCUGCUAAUUGGGAAUUCUUCCCCUCUCCCCACUUGAUGAAUGAGGACGACUGGGUGCUAAGGGAUGAAACACCUAGCUAAAG